rnacentral:rRNA from 1 species
CCUACGGGAGGCUGCAGUGAGGAAUAUUGGUCAAUGGCCGCAAGGCUGAACCAGCGAAGCCGCGUGAGGGAUGACGUUCCUAUGGAUUGUAAACCUCUUUUGUCAGGGAGCAAAGGGCGCCACGUGUGGCGUUUUGCGAGUACCUGAAGAAAAAGCAUCGGCUAACUCCGUGCCAGCCGCCGCGGUAUUACGGAGGGUGCGAGCGGUAAUCGGAAUUACUGGGCGGAAAGCGCUCGUAGGCGGUAUGUCAAGUCAUGGGUGAAAUCCCAGCGCUCAACGUGGGAACUGCCUUUGAAACUGGCAAACUGGAGUGUGUGAGAGGAUAGUGGAAUUCCAGGUGUAGGAGUGAAAGCCGUAGAUAUCUGGAGGAACAUCAGUGGCGAAGGCGACUAUCUGGAACAUAACUGACGCUGAGGAGCGAAAGCGUGGGGAGCAAACAGGAUUAGAUACCCGAGUAGUC